CCGAGUCCCCAAGCGGCGGCGGCGGGGUAGGAGCCCACGCCGUGGGCGACUGAGGCGGCGGCAGUCCGCGUCCCGGCGCCCUGGAGAUGCCGGACCAGAUCUCCGUGUCGGAAUUCGUGGCCGAGACCCUUGAGGACUACAAGGCGCCCACGGCCUCUAGCUUCACCACGGGCACGGCCCAGUGCCGGAACACCAUGGCGGCCAUCGAGGAGGUUUAGUCUCCACUGCCAGCUGCCAUGGGCAAGCAGAACAGCAAACUGGGUCCUGAGGUGCUGCAGGACCUGCGGAAAACAGGGAGUUCACCCACCAUGAGCUUCAGGAGUGGUACAAGGGCUUCCUCAAUGACUGUCCCACUGGCCACCUGACUGUGGACAAUUUCAAGAUCUAGGCCAACUUCUUCCCCUACAGAGAUUCCUCCAAGUUUGCUGAACAUGUCUUCCACACCUUUGACACCAACAGCGACAGCACCAUCGACUUUCAAGAGUUCAUCAUUGCUCUGAUCAUGACCUCUCGGGGCAAGCUGGAACAGAAGCUCAAGUGGGCCUUCAGAAUGUCUGAACUAGACAGCAAUAGCUACUUCAGCUGCAGUGAAAUGCUGGAGAUAGUGCAGGUACCUGCACUUGACAGGGCCUGGAGCAUGGGGAGUGCAGGGACCCAGGACCCCUAUCCCCGACCCCAUACACCAGGUCAUUCCUCUGCCCACUUGCUACCUGCUGUAUUAAAGGACUGGAGGUCUUUGCAGCGAGGAAUGAUAAAAGCCAAGCAUCUAUCGAUUGCUUGCUGGACAUCAGGCCCCAGCUGAGCUCAUCCAUCAGGUUUAUUCACACACUUCUAUAAAACGGGUCUUUUUUUUUUUUAAACAAAACAAAACAAAACAAAAC
rnacentral:lncRNA from 1 species